rnacentral:rRNA from 1 species
UACGUAGGGGGCAAGCGUUGUCCGGAAUCAUUGGGCGUAAAGAGCGUGUAGGCGGCCAGAUAAGUCCGCUGUGAAAUCUCGAGGCUCAACUUCGAGCUGUCGGUGGAAACUGUCUGGCUAGAGUCCGGAAGAGGAGAAUGGAAUUCCUGGUGUAGCGGUGAAAUGCGCAGAUAUCAGGAGGAACACCAAUUGCGAAGGCAGCUCGCUGGGAAGUUACUGACGCUGAGACGCGAAAGCGUGGGGAGCAAACAGG